AACUCGGCAAAAUGACCCCGUAACUGAGGGAUAAGGGGUGCCACCAUCAGGUGGCCGCAGAGAAUAGGCCCAAGCGACUGUUUACCAAAAACAUAGGUUUCUGCUAAGUCGCAAGACGAUGUAUAGGGGCUGACGCCUGCCCGGUGCUGGAAGGUUAAGGGGAUCUGUUAGAGCAAUCGAAGCAGUGAACUUAAGCCCCAGUAAACGGCGGCCGUAACUAUACCGGUCCUAAGGUAGCGAAAUUCCUUGUCGGGUAAGUUCCGACCCGCACGAAAGGCGUAACGAUUUGGGCACUGUCUCAACAACAGACUCGGUGAAAUUGUAAUUCCGGUGAAGAUGCCGGAUACCUG
rnacentral:rRNA from 1 species